UCCCGGGCAAGGGGAAACACACACGUUCAGUAAGGGAGCGUGGCUGGCGCUGGGUCUAGUCACCCCAGUUUACUGCUUGUUUUCCGGGGAUCCCAGUGGUGGGAGAGUGAGCCAUCCAAAGCGCCGCGAUGGAAACCUUCUAGAAACCAUGGAAGAUAAAUUAAAUGAUGGUUGCUGUUGUAAGCCACUGAAUUUGGGGGAUAUUUGUUAUGCAGCAAUAUAUAUCCGCCAGACCUACUAUGCAUCAGACACUGCUUUACAUGUUGGGGUCCAAGAUGAACAAGACAGACCUUGCCUUCCCGGAACUUUGCAUUCUUCGGUGGGGAGACUGACAAUAGGCAGCUUACUAGCAGACAAGUCCGAGGUACCCCUGAGCCCGGCUGAGCUCUGAGAACUGUGAACUUCCUUAUCCACAGCCAAGAUGGAAAAUGGCUUUUAUAGUUGGGCUCCAGGUAAAAGCCUUCACAACUGUAAUUCAGUUCUUGUUUUCCCAUCGUGGGCAGGGAGCCAGCCAUGUGAAAAAGUAUCUGCCUUGUGCCCAGCCUCACACUGAGGUCAAGACCCAGAGAUGAAUCAGAUACAGUUCCCUCCGUCAGGGAGCUUAGAGUCAGGUGGGGACAGAGGGGAGGCAUCGGGUUGCCUCUCCGGCUCAGCACCGUUCCCUGUCUUCCCUCAGUCUGUGAGUUUCUCACAGUAGGAUGUCCAAUGUGGCUGACACUGACACAGAGGGCAACCCCUGACCUAAGCUGGGUGCAGCAGGUAAAUAGGGUACGGAAA